CUUGACCUCGUGCAGAUCUGGGCGAGGUCGAGCGGCCCCGCCCAUUGCUGCUCGACCUCGCCGUCGCCCAGAUCUGGGCGAGGGCGAGGGCGAGCGGUGGCCAUGGGAGAGGCCGGGAUCCGGUGCUUCGUCGCCGAGGGCCCCGCAAUCUCCCAGCCGAGGACCGCCGGCGGGGGACUGGUUGAUUGCGUGGUGGUCGGGGGCGGGAUCAGCGGGCUCUGCAUCGCCCAGGCGCUCACCACGAAGCACCGCGACAAGGCCCCCGACGUGGUCGUCACCGAGGCCAGGGACCGCGUCGGUGACGACCACGUCGUCAGAUUUCCGUCCCUUCAUCGCGUUAUUUUCCACUGAAUGCAUCUUCAGACGUACUUCUUCUCCAGGUAUUACAAACUACAGAACACUCUCCAAUCUGCAUUUUGUACUUGAUAUGAAGGCUAUGUUACUCUAAUGUUCAUAUGCAGUUGGAUCUAUAUACCGCAUCCAAUGGAGUUCUAAUUAGAAAUGCUGCCAGAACUAAUCCCAAAGAUCCUUCUAUCGAGUUGGGACCUGAAUUUGAUAAGUUGGGAAGUUUUGUGAGCCGCUUCGAGUCUAUUCCCAGUGUAGUUGAGUUGGAUAGCUUGAAAGUCACUGGUGAUGUGUAGUUUGGAAAUGGCAUUAAGCUCAAGGUAUAGACAUUGCGCUUGGCAUUUGUUUUUAUAUACUUUGUCCGAUUAUUGAGGAUCUACUACAAAUUUAUGGGACCUACAGUAAAACCCAUCAGACCACCGGUUAAAUUGUGAAGAUUUGCUUA